rnacentral:lncRNA from 1 species
CUUUAGCCAAAAAUUACAUAUACAUUAACUGUGAGACCAGUCAUCAGUAAUUAGGCAGUACAUUGAUAAGUUAAUACUACUGUUAUGAUAUAUAUCAGAACAAAUUUAGGAAUGUAGAUUAAGUGGAUAUAUGUGUGUUUAUGGUAUUGUGAAGGCAAUUGAGCUUGAAGACAAACAUUAACGGGGAGUACAUGAUUAUGCCUAGGCCUAAUCUGAAUGGACAUGUCCAAAAGACGAUUCAAGGUGAACCUUUCCUAUACACAGCCACUUCCCAAAGCAGGUAUAAUACUGAUGCUUUCUAAAUUAGAUUGAACGUGACUUACAUUAUUAUGUAAAUACCAAGCAAUGAAAAUUUAAAUUCCUCUUUCAAAUGCAGUUGGUGUAUAAUUCUUGGUGACUUGGUUGUUGGCCUAGAUGGAACAAAAAGAGGAGCAAAUUUUGGUCAUGCAGGAGUGUCAUUUCCGGGUUGCUCAUUUACUGACAAUAGAAGAACAAGAAGGUAUAGUUAUCUUGAUCAUGCUUUCUUUCAGUCUUGCUAUUAUACAUUAUUUACCUGAUAGAUACUAUAUCUUUUCCAUUUUAAAAAUGUUCUCAGAGCUUGCUGCACUCCAUUGUAUUGUAAUGUCUAACUUCUUAUUGUGUUAUGAAUUCAGACAGGUAGCUGCACUUCAUUUUUAUGAAUGCAGCAGAACCUUUUUACAGUCAUCAGUAUUUUACAGCAACAAACUCUUGCAAACCAAAAUUCAGCCACCAAGGGUCAUGAUUCAAAAGAUUCAUAAGUUGGCAC